AAUGGCUGCAGUAAUUUGACUGUACAAAGGUAGCAUAAUCAUUAGUUUUUUAAUUAAAAGCUUGUAUGAAAGGUUGGACGAGAUAAAAUCUGUCUUUUUUUAAUAUGAUUAGAAUUUAAUUUUUAAGUUAAAAAGCUUAAAUUUUUAUAAAAGACGAGAAGACCCUAUAGAGUUUUAUAAUUUUUUUUUAGUAAUUAAUUUAGAUUUAUUAAUUUUAUUUUUAAAAAAUUAUUUUAUUGGGGUAAUAGAAAGAUUUAAAUAAUUCUUUUUUAAUUGAAUCAUUAAUUUAUGAAAGGUUUUGAUCCAUUAAUUUUGAUUAUAAGAUUAAAUUACCUUAGGGAUAACAGCGUAAUUUUUUUUUAGAGUUCAUAUCGAUAAAAAAGUUUGCGACCUCGAUGUUGGAUUAAAGAUUAGUUUAGGUGCAGAAGUUUAAAUUUUUGGUCUGUUCGACCAUUAAAUCUUUACAUGAUCUGAGUUCAAACCGGUGUAAGCCAGGUUGGUUUCUAUCUUUAUAAAAUUUAUAUAUUUUAGUACGAAAGGACCAAAUAUAUUAUAUAUUAAUAUUUAAUAAAUUGAGUAU
rnacentral:rRNA from 1 species